UCUCAUUGAUUUUUCGUUUCAGCUUGACCUAUUCUGUUCUUGCUUUUUCUUUAAUUUAUUUGAUAAACUCCCCAAAACAAAAAAGAGAUGGUUCGAUCUCCUCGCAGGGAAAAGGGAGGACUGAAGAAAGGAGCUUGGACUCCUGAAGAAGACCAGAAGCUCUUGGCUUGGAUAGAACAAAACGGCCAUGGAAGUUGGCAAACUUUGCCUGUCAAAGCUGGACUCCAAAGAUGUGGGAAGAGUUGUAGACUUAGGUGGACAAACUAUUUGAGACCUGACAUCAAGAGAGGAAAGUUCAGCUUGCAGGAAGAACAAACCAUUAUUCAACUCCAUGCUCUUCUUGGAAACAAGUGGUCAGCUAUAGCGAAUCACUUGCCUAAAAGAACCGACAAUGAAAUAAAGAACUACUGGAACACACAUCUCAAGAAAAGACUAGACAAAAUGGGUAUAGAUCCAGUAACCCACAAGCCGAAAACCGACACCUUCGGCUCCACCACCGGCACCGGCAACUCCAAGAACGCUGCCAAUCUAAGCCACAUGGCUCAAUGGGAGAGUGCUCGUUUAGAAGCUGAAGCCAGAUUAGUCCGUGAGGCCAAGCUCCCAUCAAAUCCUCUCCAUAACUCUCCAUAACCAAUUUUCUUUCCUCAACAAACCAACCACCAGUGACGCCGCUGCAGCUCCACCAGUUAGACCAAAAUGCCUUGACGUGCUUAAAGCAUGGCAAGGUAUGCUUUCCGGCAUGUUUUUUCUCUCUGGUGCCGGCAACAGCCUCGAGUCCCCAACUUCAACGUUAAAUUUUCCAGAAAAUGCAUUAUCUAGUGGGUUUAAACAGGAGAAUACAUUAAUCAUUCCUCAGCUUCAAUUCACGUCUAGCAAUAAUAAUACUGCAAGUAAAGGGGAAACGAUUAAUGAAGAAAAUGAAUGGAAAUGCAUGGAGCAAGCGAAAGAAACAUUAAUGGGUACCUCAGUGACAGUGCAUGGAACUGGUACGUAUGACAGUACUACUGAUAACAACAAUACAUGGGUUAUGGAUACAUUUAUGGAAGCAAAUUUAAAUGUUAAUGGGAUUAAUAUUGUGGACGGACUUUCUGAUAUUAUGGUUUAUAACACCUCUGUUGAUCAUCACAAUUCAUCAUCAAUGGCCGAAGGAAAUGCUACAAGUGAAGGGAGUAUUAUUUAUCUUGAUCAAGAUCAGAGGUAUUAUUGGAAUAGCUUACUUGAUUUGGUGGAUGCUCCGGGGGCUGCCUCCGGUUCACAGGUGUUUUGAAUAAGGAUGAAGCUAAUAUGAAGGGCCAAAGAAUAAAAUUUUAAAUCAAUGUAGGAGUUUAUUGCAAAAUGCAGUACUAUUAUUAUAUGUUAUUUUGCAUGUAAUAAUGUAUUAGGUGUGGCAUUAUAUCACCUUUUGAAUAAAGUGAUUGUUUAGAUAUA